AGUGAACGCUGGCGGUAGGCCUAACACAUGCAAGUCGAACGGCAGCACAGGAGAGCUUGCUCUCUGGGUGGCGAGUGGCGGACGGGUGAGGAAUACAUCGGAAUCUACUCUGUCGUGGGGGAUAACGUAGGGAAACUUACGCUAAUACCGCAUACGACCUACGGGUGAAAGCAGGGGACCUUCGGGCCUUGCGCGAUUGAAUGAGCCGAUGUCGGAUUAGCUAGUUGGCGGGGUAAAGGCCCACCAAGGCGACGAGCCGUAGCUGGUCUGAGAGGAUGAUCAGCCCCACUGGAACUGGGACACGGUCCAGGCUCCUACGGGAGGCAGCAGUGGGGAAUAUUGGACAAUGGGCGCAAGCCUGAUCCAGCCAUGCCGCGUGGGUGAAGAAGGCCUUCGGGUUGUAAAGCCCUUUUGUUGGGAAAGAAAUCCAGCUGGCUAAUACCCGGUUGGGAUGACGGUACCCAAAGAAUAAGCACCGGCUAACUUCGUGCCAGCCGCCGCCGUAA
rnacentral:rRNA from 1 species